AAGGGGCAGAGCCAAAAGGAUGGAGAAGAAGCAGAGAAGUGAAAAGUCACCAUGAGAAUCCUCUCCAACUAAUCUUAAAAUGACACCACAAAAUGAAUACAGGAGUAAAAGAACCAACAAGGAGACAGAGUGAAACAACACUCAAAAAGACAUAAACACAAAAGGGGCUAACUCUAUAGCCUGCUGAACCUCCCUCUAAAGAGGAAACAUAACUAAAUCAACCUUGUGAUGGAUCAAAUUGGAUUAUCCAAUUCUGAUCUUCAGAGUCUUGAAAUAUCCUGAUUCUACCUGGUUAUCCCAUUUGAUACCAACUCUGCAACUGUGAAAGAGAGAAAUUUUUGAUAGGGGAAAAUGAGAAGAGCAAAGGAGCAUCAAAAAGAAAUCAUGAUCCAGUUCCCAUCAAAAGACCUUCCAGGAAAGAUGAAAAGAAGACUGAUUACAGCUGCUUGGGAAAACCAGACAGAACCAUUGUGGGAAAAAAUAGAGCAUCGUUCGAAUUUUAAGCCAAUGUCCCACCUCAACCAACCCAUAGGCAGGACAUGUCUCAAACAACCACUCACAGUAACACAGUUUCCAAACACUCAAAAAACUGUGCUAAAGCCAUCUCUUAAUCCAAAGGAGAACUCCAAAAAAUUGACCUGCCCUGGCAAGUCGUAUACUAUGUCAGACUUGCCCUUAAAACGUUGCCCUAGUAACCAGUCCCAUAUGGAGCCUUUAUCAGGACCUGGGCACUUCCAGAAUAUUUUGCUUGACUGCAAUCACCAAACAGCCGAGGCCCAAAAGAUUCAGAUCCCAUCUGUACGUGGACACAGAGGUAAAGUUAAACAUAAAGCCCCCGUGAAGAAAGACUUCAAAGUCUUACCUGAGCACAAUGUGCCAAAGGGGACAACUCUAAAUGCCCUGGUGAGAUGCUUAAACUUUGCCCCCAAAUCUAAUGUUAUCUCAGCAUGUUUUUCUGAGUCUUUACCUAAAGCCAAUGGUUUAAAACCAUCAAACCAUGAGUGGACUAAGGAACAAGAAAUGAGAAAAUCUCUUUCUGGUUUCCAAAUUCCCACUUUCUCGCUUUGUAAUAAUGUUACCGAUGCAAGAAAUGCCCAUCCUUCCUACCCCACACAGUGGCCUACUCCCACUACAGAUAAACCACCACAUGAUAUAGACGAAUUAAUAUCAGCCCUGGGAUUAGAAACACCAAAAUUUGGACCAUGGCAACAUGCAGAAAAGGAGAAUUUUUCAGAUUUCCAACAAUGGGCCAAGUGCUCUUCUACAUGCCUAAACUACCGUUGUAUGCCAAUGGAUACGUUUGCAUCAUAACAAUCCCUCAAACUAACCAGAGCUCUACCAAGCUAAAUUCAACAAAAUGAGAAUAUGUAUAAGCCAGAGAUAAAGCGUCAGUCCACAAUGUUAGCCUGUAUACAGGUUUAUACAAUUAGACCAAGAGUUGUUCCACUGAUCUUAUCUACCUGAGUCAUCAUGAACACCCAUCUAUCUCUUCAUUGUUUCAUCUCCUAAAUAGGCUAUCAUCAAACACAGACAACUAGCUGAAACUAUGCAGCACCCUGAGAACAUCAGGCCAUUUUCUAAAAGUGCUUGACCAUUCAUGUGUGCAUAACUGGAGACAGACAGGGAAACUGAAGAAACGCUGUGCCCCGAGGAUACCAGGACAUUUCUCUAAUGAGUAUGGAACACCUGAACCAAACCAGAAAGAAACAAUGAAGCUGAAAAUCAAUGGCACUGUGCAUCCACCUGGCCAAGUUUCUAAUAUAGUUUGACCACUCUUUUCUCAACAUGGACAACCAUUCUGAAGAAAUAUUUUUCCCUGAGAACACCAGGCCUUUUUCUAACCAAACCUGACCAUCACCUUUUGGACAUGCAAAAAACAGACUCAGACAAGCAAGCUUAAGGACAUCCAAGAAUCUCUCUAAUGAACGUAGACCAUCUGAACAUUUCUUAACCAGACUGAAAUCAUCAUGUCAGGAAUCCCAGGCUACCUUCUCACUAAUACUGACUAACUACUAUGUAGAAGAUAAAUGGGUCCUCUGUCCCACACAGAAUUCAUUUUUAAUAAGUCUCAUUCACUGACCACAAAUAUGCCCCGAACCCCUUUUAUUGAGUUUGAUAUUACUCAUUCCCAUCUCCUUGGCAGGUCUCAGGGUGGUUCAUUGUUUUUAAUUUUUAUAUGCGACAAAAAUAUUUUAGAGCCCAUGAGCGUGAUAUAUCUGUUAAUCUAUUAUACAUAGAUUGUAUAUAUUUCUAUUUUAUAUCUAUCUAUUUACCAUGUAUAAUAACAAGCUUUUAUUUUAAGUACUGUACA
ensembl:lncRNA